AUGGCUGAAGCGCAGUUCUGGAAAGCAUCGCAAGGCACACCCGGACGCACACCUCCCCCGCCCCCAAAAAAAAUAAGAAAUGGGCAAAUACACCAUGCUGCACAACAUCAACAAGGUGUUGUGCGUUAUGCUCGAUGAUGGCCGUACCGUUACUGGCAAGCUGCUCGUCUUUGACAAGCACAUGAACGUCGUUCUUGGCGACGCGGUCGAGGAGCGGCCGCAGUCGAAGAAGAUGGCUGAGGAGGGCGUCUCGCCAAAACGCCAGCUGGGGCUUAUCUUGCUGCGCGGCGAGCACGUUGUGUCCGUCACAGUGAUGAAAGGUAGCGAGAACGGUGGCAGCGGGGCUGUGGCGAAUUUUGGCGGCGCUCCCAAAUCGGCGAAGGCAACCGCCGUGAAGCGCAAGCGCGGCGCGUAACGACGAAAGUCAAACUUGGCACCUAAAAGCUGAGGGGUGAGGUGAGCUGUCUCGUACCGCUAUGUGUGCUCAGAAGCAUCCUAACCUCUCUCUUGUGUGCCCGCCUACAGUCAAACGUUUGCGUUCCCAUGUAUUCACACCCCCGCGCGUGUUGAGUGUACACGCGAAUGAGUUGGUGCUGAUGGUGAUGAUGUCUUUCCGCCCUCCCCAAUCCCCCUUUCUUUCUCUGUCCCGCCUUGUGUGUGUGUGUAUGCGCGUGCGUGUGUGCACCUCACCCCUCGCACGCGCACACAGGGGGCGAGGGGCACAGAGGCGAUGAGGGGGUCGAUGCGCUGUAGGAAAUCAGAAACAGGACGAUUUAGUGCAAAACGACAAGAAGCGAAAAAGGCGAGCGCCAACGAAUAACCGCCGGAUGACCCCUUUCGCUGUGCGUCUGCCCAUCGCCUCGAGGCGAGGGCCGACCUGCCUAACUCUUCCUUGUCAGAGAGGCGCGUGCGUGCUCAUGGAGCAUAUGUGCGAGUGUGUGAUUGUAUGAUGACACG
rnacentral:misc_RNA from 1 species